rnacentral:rRNA from 1 species
AGUGAACGCUAGCGGUAGGCCUAACACAUGCAAGUCGAACGGCAGCACAGUAAGAGCUUGCUCUUACGGGUGGCGAGUGGCGGACGGGUGAGGAAUACAUCGGAAUCUACUUUUUCGUGGGGGAUAACGUAGGGAAACUUACGCUAAUACCGCAUGCGACCUACGGGUGAAAGCAGGGGAUCUUCGGACCUUGCGCGAUUGAAUGAGCCGAUGUCGGAUUAGCUAGUUGGCGGGGUAAAGGCCCACCAAGGCGACGAUCCGUAGCUGGUCUGAGAGGAUGAUCAGCCACACUGGAACUGAGACACGGUCCAGACUCCUACGGGAGGCAGCAGUGGGGAAUAUUGGACAAUGGGCGCAAGCCUGAUCCAGCCAUACCGCGUGGGUGAAGAAGGCCUUCGGGUUGUAAAGCCCUUUUGUUGGGAAAGAAAAGCAGCAGGUUAAUACCCCGCUGUUCUGACGGUACCCAAAGAAUAAGCACCGGCUAACUUCGUG